CGUGUAGGCGGCUUUGCAAGUCAGAGGUGAAAUGUCUCGGCUCAACCGAGGACCUGCCUUUGAAACUGCAGAGCUUGAGGCCGUGAGAGGAGACUGGAAUUCCUAGUGUAGCGGUGAAAUGCAUAGAUAUUAGGAAGAACACCAGUGGCGAAGGCGAGUCUCUGGCACGGUUCUGACGCUGAGGCGCGAAAGCCAGGGGGAGCGAACG
rnacentral:rRNA from 1 species